AUUGAACGCUGGCGGCAUGCCUUACACAUGCAAGUCGAACGGUAACGCGGGGCAACCUGGCGACGAGUGGCGAACGGGUGAGUAAUGUAUCGGAACGUGCCCAGUUGUGGGGGAUAACUGCUCGAAAGAGCAGCUAAUACCGCAUACGACCUGAGGGUGAAAGCGGGGGAUCGCAAGACCUCGCGCAAUUGGAGCGGCCGAUAUCAGAUUAGGUAGUUGGUGGGGUAAAGGCUCACCAAGCCAACGAUCUGUAGCGGGUCUGAGAGGACGACCGGCCACACUGGGACUGAGACACGGCCCAGACUCCUUCGGGAGGCAGCAGUGGGGAAUUUUGGACAAUGGACGCAAGUCUGAUCCAGCCAUGCCGCGUGCGGGAAGAAGGCCUUCGGGUUGUAAACCGCUUUUGUCAGGGAAGAAACGCUCUGGGUUAAUACCUCGGGGUAGUGACGGUACCUGAAGAAUAAGCACCGGCUAACUACGUGCCAGCCGCCGCGGUAACAC
rnacentral:rRNA from 1 species